rnacentral:tRNA from 1 species
GGGUGUAUAGCUCAGUCGGUAGAGCAACGGCCUUUUAAGCCGACGGUCGGGGGUUCGAAUCCCUCUACACCCACAA